UUCCAGACUCCUACGGGAGGCAGCAGUGGGGAAUAUUGCACAAUGGGGGAAACCCUGAUGCAGCGACGCCGCGUGAGUGAAGAAGUAUUUCGGUAUGUAAAGCUCUAUCAGCAGGGAAGAAAAUGACGGUACCUGAUUAAGAAGCCCCGGCUAACUACGUGCCAGCAGCCGCGGUAAUACGUAGGGGGCAAGCGUUAUCCGGAUUUACUGGGUGUAAAGGGAGCGUAGACGGUGAUGCAAGUCAGAAGUGAAAGCCCGGGGCUCAACUCCGGGACUGCUUUUGAAACUGUGUAACUGGAGUGCAGGAGAGGUAAGCGGAAUUCCUGGUGUAGCGGUGAAAUGCGUAGAUAUCAGGAGGAACACCAGUGGCGAAGGCGGCUUACUGGACUGUAACUGACGUUGAGGCUCGAAAGCGUGGGGAGCAAACAGGAUUAGAUACCCGUGUA
rnacentral:rRNA from 1 species